rnacentral:rRNA from 1 species
UACGUAGGGUGCUAGCGUUGUCCGGAUUUAUUGGGCGUAAAGGGCUCGUAGGCGGCGUGUCGCGUCGGGAGUGAAAGCCCGCUGCUUAACGGCGGGUUGGCUUCCGGUACGGGCAUCGCUGGAGUGCGGCAGGGGAGACUGGAAUUCCUGGUGUAGCGGUGGAAUGCGCAGAUAUCAGGAGGAACACCAAUAGCGAAGGCAGCUCGCUGGGACGUUACUGACACUGAGGCGCGAAAGCGUGGGGAGCGAACAGG